UUUCCUUUCCCCCCCCCCUCCUAUUCAUUUUUCUUUCUUCUUUUCUGCCCUUUAUCUUUCUAGCUUUUCAAAAUUUAUCUCAAAACCAUAUCCAAUUCCUCAAUAUCUUUUACCACCCUCUAUGACAUUCUCUUUUUCUGUUAUUCUGUUCAAAAAAAUAAUUAUCUUGAUGUUAUUAUUACACAUAAAAAUAAAGAUUAGCAAUUUAUUCAUAUCAUAUGUUGGUUUGCAUUUGUUGGCUAGAAAAAGUAUUCGCCAACAUCUUUUUUUCGAUGAAUUUCAGCGCAUACGUUAAAGCACUAAUUAAAACUCUUUACUCAUUUUUUUCUUUUUUAAUCGAUUGUCAAGAUUUAAAAUUUGUGAUUGAAAUCGUUCCACUCUCAUUAAAAAAAAUUAAAUUUCGAUGACUUUUUUUCCAGCUGUACAAUUAUAUAUCUCAUCUAUGAAGUAUCUUGUUGAGAAGUCCUUUAAAUUAUGAGUGGUGUGUUUGUGUGGAUUGUUAUCAUAUAUUGAAAAGAUCUUCACAAUGAAAAAUGAUGAUGAAUGCGUAAAAAAUUGUGAGAAUGAAGGUCGUUAAUGGCAUUCUAAAUGGAAAUUGAGGAGGCUGUGGUUUGGAAGAUGCGUCCGUCAAUGGUGGUCAUUGGUGGAAUUGAUAUCGUGAAUGGUGAAUGUUCAUGCAUAUUAAUGGAGGUUGAAUAGAGUGGUUUUGUCGUGGAGAGAAACAGUGAGAGUGAAGGAGGAGAUGACGGGCGUCGGUGUAUAGGCGGUUCAAUAAUCGGUCUGAGGGUGUUGGUGGAACAACGAUUAGAGGCUUUGUGUGAUGAUGGAGUUGCUGAGAAAUUUUUAAUAAAUAAAGGAGGAAAAAUGGUGAUCAAUGGAGGAAAUUGUUGAUGGCUUCUUUUGGCAUUAAUGACGAAUUGAGUGGAGAAAGGGGUGGCGCUGGUGGUGGUUUGCGAAUAGUGAAAAUGUAGAUAAAAAAUGGUGAUGAAUGUGAAUAAAUUGAAAAAGUUUGAGAAAAAAAAAUUGUAAGAACUAAAAAAAAGAAGAAGAAAGAAAUAGUAAAAAUCAAACAAAUAUAUUAGAUAAAUUAAACAACAAAACUUUUAGGGAUCGUAUGGUGUAGGGCACUAAUCUAGAUAGUUCCGAGAUAAAAUAAUAAUUCCGAGAUAAAAUUUUUAAUGCUUUAUUUGGUUGCUUAAUUUGGGAUAACUUAUCCGGUACUAAUAAAUCGUUAUCCCAUACAUUAGAUGGGAUAACAAUACCAACCUAGUUUAUCCAUGGAAUAAAGGUCUGAAAAGACACAAUUUCCCUCCACCUAACAACCUUUGAUUAUCACUUUCACAUACAUACAAGUACUUCUGCAGCUUCUACGAGUUUGGUUCUGUUGAGGGUUCUUUUCAUUGAUGAACUUCACAUGGAGAAGCUACAAAAAUAAUUGAAGAAAAUCUUUGUCAUUAGCUUUUAGUCACUCACAAGGUUAAAUUUUUUUUCAAAAUCCAUUUCUCUCACUACAG
rnacentral:lncRNA from 1 species